GCAGUGCCGAAUCAGCGGCUGACGCCACAUCGCUAGCAAAACCAAAACAACACGAGUUAUCAGAUUUCGUAGUGUACAUUACUGUAUAUAAUACGUUAGUGUUUAAAAAAACAUGUUAUAUAUAUACGUGUUUUAUAUGUAGGUCUGUCGUGUAGCCACACAUUACAUUCAGUUAUGGAGGACAGUUCGCUGUGUUGUGGAUGUUGGAGUAAACUACAGCCACCUUACAUUCGUUGCUCUGCAUGUCGCAUCGAAAACGGAAAAUCACAACAGUUAUGUUUGCAGUGUUUUUCUCGCGGUUACCAGGAUGGAGACCAUCGGAGCAACCAUCCAUAUGAAAUAAUAAGACAUCAGUUUUCGAUACUUUCAAAAGACUGGACAGCCAAUGAAGAGAUGCUGUUGCUAGAUGCAAUCAGAGACCGUGGUUUAGGAAACUGGAGUGACGUAGCGAAACAAGUUAUGACAAAGAACAAGCAGCAGUGUGAGUCUCACUACAUGAAGUCGUACGUCGUCAAGCCCCUGCCGAGCUUGCCUCGGUUUCCUGAACAGCCGUCGGACCAUCAACCACAACCCGUAGUUUACAAAUUGAGUGAGCAGCCACCACGCCCCGUCGCCGGUACCCCGUGGUACUUUGACAUGGCCGGCUACGAGGCGGCAAGGAGUGAGUUCACGACAGAGCCAGACAACUUUGCCGAGUGCGAUCUCAGGGACAUUGACUUCGCGGCGCCGGCGGACGACGUUGAUGCAUCGGAGGCAGGACGCGACACGAACGAUGAAGACCUUCAAGAUGAGAAGCUGCUUAUGCAGGAGAUGCAGUUUGCCGUGAUCAACGUGUAUUUAAGUCGCCUGGCUGAACGUUGGCGGCGCCACCAGACAGUUCGCCAUUGUGGCCUCCUUCAUGCGCGCCGAUUCAGUGUGCUUGAUGCCAAGCGUUAUGGCAGGACCAUCCGCAUGGCUGUAGAGAAGCUGCGUCCAUUCAUGAGGCUUGUGCACCCUACAGAAUACGACAUGUUCAUUGAGGCCCUGCAUUAUGAAGCAGAACUCAGAGAGCAAAUAUCUCAAUUACAAGAGUACUGCACGGCAGGCCUGACAAAGCUGAGCAGUAGCGCCAUCUACAGGACGGUAAAACAAAGAAGAGAAGAGGAGGCAAAUAGGAGGCGUAUGACGACUGAUGCUGUUACGAUAACACAUGAUCAGCUUGUCUGCAAGCAGUGGCUGGAGAAACAGGUGAGAGAGGGACAGGCCAUGAAGAAUAUCACCCUACCAAACAUGAAGAGGAGAUCAGCACCGCCGCUUCACAUACUUGGUUUACCUGGAUACGAUAAGCUCAGCACAGAAGAGAGGGAGCUGUGUGCCAACAUUAGACUGGUUCCCGCAUCGUACCAACAGUUCAAGAACCUGCUGAUCACAGAGUACAAGAAGCUUGGUUAUCUGAAGCUGGCGCAGGCUAGGCCUCUCGUGAAGAUCGAUGUGAAUAAGACACGGAAGAUCUACGACUUCUUGGUGUCGAAGGGCUUCAUACAAAAGGACCCAGUGACGUGACAUGACUCAGUGACGUGAUGUGUGACCCAGUGACGUGACACGACCCAGUGAUGUGAUGUGUGACCCAGUGACGUGACGUGUGACCCAGUGACGUGAUGUGUGACCCAGUGACGUGAUGUGGGACCCAGUGACGUGACUGACGUGACUGUGACCCAGUGACAUGAUAUGUGACCCAGUGACGUGAUGUGUGACCAGUGACAUGACGUGAACCAGUGACUUGAUGUGACCCAGUGACAUGAUAUGAAUAUCGUAUUAUUCAGGAAGCAAUGCGUCAGCUGCCCAUUUUUGAGUGAGAAUGAUUAAAUUGUAAUUCAUGUGAAGGCCUUUUAUUUUUAUAUGACAUUACUUAUUUGCAAUUGUGUUGGAUUGAAUUAAAGGUACUCUAAAAGGUCUUUUGGUUUGUAUAAUCACUCAUUGUGGUCUUACUCGUGUUCACAUUAAAGUAUAUUUCUAUGAAGCCUGCCAUAGACAAACGGGUAUUACCGAAUGGAGUGAUAUUAGGCAAUGGAUUGAUUGUUACAAAUAAAUUGUCAUUGUAA